GAAGAAGACAUGUCGCGUAAGUAUUACAUUUGCUUUACCAAAAAGCACAAGAUUUCAAUACUUCAAAAACGGAUAUGUUUGCAACACUAUUGUCUCGUUCAUUAUUGCUUUCUUCUUUUGUAGUUAAACUAUCGAGAAAAUAACUAUUUAACGGGGAACAAAAUUUAAUCAAGUGGAUAUUGCAUUAGACAGUUCUCGUAAUAGUCAUCUGAACUGCAGAAAGAGUCAAGCAAAAUUGUUCGCGAACGGCGCGUUAAUUGUAAACGGCCCUGUCGCAGCACAGAAAAAAUCGUCAAACGAACUAAGCGCAGGCGACUCGUGGACUGUACAGUUUUAGGAAACAUUUCAGUUGAAUGUUUUCACUGGGGAGGGUGAAAGAAGCGAUUAUACGAAGGCGAAUUGUGAAGAGAUGUCAAAAUCUGCAAUUUUUCUAGCUAUUGUUAUGGUGUUAGGCUGCUGAGCACGAGGUCGCGGGAUCGAAUCCCGGCCGCGGCGGCCGCAUUUCGAUGGGGGCGAAAUGCGAAAACACCCGUGUACUUAGAUUUAGGUGCACGUUAAAGAACCCCAGGUGGUCUAAAUUUCCGGAGUCCUCCACUACGGCGUGCCUCAUAAUCAGAAAGUGGUUUUGGCACGUAAAACCCCAUAAUUUUUUAAUUUCUAGCUAUUGUCGAUUCGUCUAAGAAUAAUUAAGGCUGCAUGCCAAUCAAUGUAAAUCAUAAAAUAGAGCAUUUCUGCUGUCGACGUGGAUUUGAUUGGGAAGAACUAGAGUUAGAUCAAAUUCUUCCAAUUUUCGCUCAAUUAACUAAUGACGUUCAACAAUCAAGCAGUUAAGAAUUAAUAAAUUCAUGGUAUAUCAUGAGUGUUUUUUCAAGCGCCGUCUCCUGUGAAGCAUAUCUACCAUUUUCGUGCAAAGCUCUCUGGAAAGCGUAUUGACUGUGUAUGCAUGCAUGCACCUAUCGAACUUCGUGCACAUAUAGACGUGAUGCUUUGACGAUAAAUACUUAUUAAAAUUCAAAUUAUUUAUUUCUGCCUUGUAAAGGUACAGACAGCAGAGGCGCAGAAAAAGCUGUCAGAUACAGAUUGACAAAGCCGCAGCCCCCUUUCGCUUGGCAGAGCCUUUACAGCGACACUUUUAAAACAAAGACAAUUGCACCCGGUAAUAACAGGUAUACAAUACUGAGCAAGUACAAAAGGAAACCAAUCAAGAUUAUACGAUAUUUGUACAAUACUCCCAAACAAGAAAACAGAACCUACAUGCUAACGUACAUAGCACCCAAAGUACUGUUCGACACGUUGAAGAGGUCAAAAUUAUUGUUCACAUAAGGUAUAUACAUAUUCGUAUAGCGCUACCAAUCCCUGCAAAAUAUAGAACGCAGAUUUUCAUUACACAUACGCACGCACGCACGUGCACAGCACACACACCAAAAGGAAACGGCAACGCGCUCACAGGAAGCGCCUGAAAAACGAAAAAAAAGGAAAAGUGUGGGGAACCGAGGUCGUCUUGGGCUGUCGCCUCUCCCUCUCCCAGAAGGAAUGAAGAGGUUCUUGGAAAGCAGGGACGGGCGAUUCUCUCUGUCAGCAUCAGCUCCCACCAGCGAGGACGGGGCGAGAAAGCGAAACGGGACUUUCCUUGCUGUCUAUUUUUUCUUCGUCAGGCCAACGCCGCUUGCUUGCGGGGGCGCAGGCGAGUUCCCGCCAAAUGGCGCGGGUGCGUGAGUUGCCGCCAAAUGCUAGCUCUGGAUGCCAGCUCGUUCCGCGUCUCUUGGUAGACUAGUUGGUGCAUUUCUGUUAUCAUGGACUGCGCAUAUAAACGCAAGCUACACAAAGUGACAUGGACAAGAACAGCGCAAGCCCUUUACAUGCAGUGGAGCCGCCGUAUCUCGCCGUUCAAUAUAUGCGUACUCGAAACACUGGAACGACACUGCUUAAAUUGAAGCACAGUGUGCGAAUAACCUGCUACGCUCGGAACUGUUAUCACCAUUCGGGAAGAAAUUGGGUAAGAAUGGAUUGUGUGUGGCGCUCUUCACCGCAUGUGGACUAGAGUAGAUCUAGGAACAUCAGACAAGAAGACACGUAUGUGAAACCCUGCGGAUAGCCCAUAUGUAAGUUCUUCCUCAAUUUUUCUUUUGUUGCAUUUUCGUAGUUUACGUGUAAUACUUUGUCACCGCGGUCUCGACGUUAUGUAUACCUAUACAUUUGUCUCGUGGCAGUCUGCGUGCUAUUUUGUUUGUGCAACUAUGUGUUGUAUUCAUUUAUCGCGCUGCCUGGAUGGUUUUUUCUUUCACUGAUAUUCCGACCAAAGUCGGUAAACCUAUCCUUCCUGUCCUCAUGUUUCCUUGGGCGGCUCUAAAGCGUAUCUUAGAGGAAUAUUUAGCUUCAGAUUCCCGCAUGGAACAGAUGGUGAAUGACAUGCUGUGUUUUCUUUUUAGAGAAACUAUGUAUUCAUGUUUAAUAUUUGGUUGAUUUUCAUUUUGUCAUUCAUACAAUACCGCAGCCAUAUGCCAUUCUGUCAUAGAACGUUGUUUCUAGAUAUAUUUGUUUUAUGUGGUUAAAACAUUUAAAACGAGAGCGUUUCUUAUCCUGGCCAUUAUUUUUUACAGACCACGAUAACCACGUAUUUGGAUGUCUGGUUUAACUCUACGUGCGCUGGUUCGUGCAGGUGAACUUUUUUUCCAGAUACGGGGGAACGGACACCGGUCGUGCCGUGAGCACUAUUCUGCAGGGCAUACUUACAAAUGAAACUGCACUGCAGUUCAGCUGGAAAGGGUCGCAGGGGAGGAAGCACGCCUUCGUGAAGCUCAUGGCCAUCACGAAUAUAACAUCUGUGAGGAGCACGUUCCCUGACGCUUCACUAGCAUCAGUGGCUGGAGUCGCAAAACGCUGGUUGGUUGGAGCAGCUGACAGGGAUGGAGGCCGGAAUGAAAGAAGGCGCCGUGACCCUGCUUCAAGCCCACCAAAUAUGAACUAGUGUUUGAAACUUGUGAACGUGUCGGUGUAGAUAUACAAUUACAAGAAAUAAAGACCUGUAUCAGAAUC